GCCCCUUACAACAUGCCUUAAUAAUUUUGUGAUUAUUGUGCUCUUUGAAUAAUAAUUGAAAAAAUAGUCAUUAGAUUAAAAUUCUAUGAGUUCAGGGAAAAUAGAAUAUAAAUUGAAUGGGACAUUAACAUUCAGUUCAGUAGAUACAACAGAGGCAGACAAAUCCUUAACAGGAUAAUAAAUUAUAUGAUCCUUGACAUGGGCAUUGAGUGUGGGUACAUCGUUGCAUUGUGCAUUGAAGUCAGAAGACCCUAAAGUGGCCCCAAAUUUGACAGUGAUGCUUUACAGAUACAAAGAAAAGAAGAUUGCGACACCAAUUUAUUUAAUUUUUAAUACAAAGCCAACAUAGUUAUAAAGGAACAUGUUCAUGUAGUUCACUCUAUGUAAUAGGAUUUGAAUCUAAAACAAAUGUGGGAUCGGUGUCCUUGCGAACACGUGGGUCAGUGGCUGUACGUUGUUUAUAUUGGCGUUUGUUUGUUUUUUAUUUUAUUUUAACAUUGUGAAAAUAUAUAGUGUUCUCCUUUGAAUAAGUUGUAUUUCCAUUCAAUAUUUAUAAAGCACCUUGUUUUUGUAUUUUUCUAAUCCAUUGACUGAUGUCACUUUGGUUUCGUUUACUUAUUUUCGUACACGCCUAUUAAUUACACCAAUCGUAGGUCGUUUAAGAAAACCGGUUGUAAAUCGACCAAUCAGGAGUCUGUUUACAGACGGUGUUCGGGUGCCUUCUGCUGGUUUCUACUUUCAGUAGUUUUCGCCUUACUCUCCUUGUUGAUAGCGAUCCCAGCCUAGGCGUUCGUGACUACUCGGGUCACUUCACGUAGAGGUUAUAAAUAUCAACCACACUUUAUCGGAAAUCCCCUGGUUGUGUCAACAGCGUAAAUUUCCCCUUCAGUCAUUUUUAUUGAUUUUUUAAUUUUACAAUUUUGAGCAAAGUAGGCGGCGGAUUUCCUUCAAGUAGACGACGAAAAUCGCCGCCUACCGCCUUCUAUUGAAAGCCCUGCUUU
rnacentral:lncRNA from 1 species